GCACUGCUGUGCUAUAUCACAGCAACAGAAUGACAAUGUCAAACAAGCCAAAAUGUCAUGCAAUAGAAUUGAUGAUGAGAGAGAUCUGUCAAAAGGAGCCUGUAGAGUGAUAUGAAAAGUCAUGCAAUCUAACAGUUAAAAUGCUCUUAAUCAAGUGAAAGUUAUAUUAUGCUAUUGAUCACAGAAGAAUCAUAAUUUCUUAAGA